rnacentral:rRNA from 1 species
GGCGGACGGGUGAGUAACACGUGGGUAACCUACCCAUCAGAAUGGGAUAACACCGGGAAACCGGGGCUAAUACCGGAUAACAAUUUAAACCGCAUGGUUCUGUUUUGAAAGGCGGUUUCGGGUGUCACUGAUGGAUGGACCCGCGCUGCAUUAGCUAGUUGGUAAGGUAACGGCUCACCAAGGCCACGAUACAUAGCCGACCUGAGAGGGUGAUCGGCCACAUUGGAACUGAGACACGGUCCAAACUCCUACGGGAGGCAGCAGUAGGGAAUCUUCCGCAAUGGGCGAAAGCCUGACGGAGCAACGCCGCGUGAGUGAAGAAGGUUUUCGGAUCGUAAAACUCUGUUGUUAGAGGAAGAACAAAGUUGAUAGUAACUGUAUCAUCCCUUGACGGUACCUAACCAGAAAGCCACGGCUAACUACGUGCCAGCAGCCGCGGUAAUACGUAGGUGGCAAGCGUUAUCCGGAAUUAUUGGGCGUAAAGCGAGCGCAGGCGGUUUCUUAAGUCUGAUGUGAAAGCCCCCGGCUCAACCGGGGAGGGUCAUUGGAAACUGGGAAACUUGAGUGCAGAAGAGGAGAGUGGAAUUCCAUGUGUAGCGGUGAAAUGCGUAGAGAUAUGGAGGAACACCAGUGGCGAAGGCGGCUCUCUGGUCUGUAACUGACGCUGAUGCGCGAAAGCGUGGGGAGCAAACAGGAUUAGAUACCCUGGUAGUCCACGCCGUAAACGAUGAGUGCUAAGUGUUAGAGGGUUUCCGCCCUUCAGUGCUGCAGCUAACGCAUUAAGCACUCCGCCUGGGGAGUACGACCGCAAGGUUGAAACUCAAAGGAAUUGACGGGGGCCCGCACAAGCGGUGGAGCAUGUGGUUUAAUUCGAAGCAACGCGAAGAACCUUACCAAGUCUUGACAUCCUUUGACCACUCUAGAGAUAGAGUCUUCCCC